GAUGAACGCUAGCUGCAGGCUUAACACAUGCAAGUCGAGGGGAAACGAUAUUGGAAGCUUGCUUCCGAUAGGCGUCGACCGGCGCACGAGUGAGUAACGCGUAUCCAACCUGCCCAUCACUUGGGGAUAACCUUGCGAAAGUAAGACUAAUACCCAAUGAUAUCUCUAGAAGACAUCUGAAAGGGAUUAAAGAUUUAUCGGUGAUGGAUGGGGAUGCGUCUGAUUAGCUUGUUGGCGGGGUAACGGCCCACCAAGGCGACGAUCAGUAGGGGUUCUGAGAGGAAGGUCCCCCACAUUGGAACUGAGACACGGUCAAAACUCCUACGGGAGGCAGCAGUGAGGAAUAUUGGUCAAUGGACGAGAGUCUGAACCAGCCGAGUAGCGUGCAGGAUGACGGCCCUAUGGGUUGUAAACUGCUUUUAUAAGGGAAUAAAGUGAGCCUCGUGAGGCUUUUUGCAUGUACCUUAUGAAUAAGGACCGGCUAAUUCCGUGCCAGCCGCCGCCGUAA
rnacentral:rRNA from 1 species